rnacentral:sRNA from 1 species
GGGAGCUUCGUAUGCCAAUUAAUAUGGCCAUCUACCAGCACACUGCCACAAGAACAAAAUUAAUUACAGAUAGCAGAAAGUAGAAAUCCAAAAGCAACAAGUUCAAAUCCAAGAAGAAGUAAACGACUUGAAUCAAGACAAGAACAACUUACCGAUGUUUCUUAACAAAUGAGGUCCACAUAGUUAUGAGCCGCUUCUGAUCCUUAGAAAGACCAAGAAGCUCAAGUUUCUAGAGAGAGGAACUAUCUCCUCCUCAAUGUCACGAGUCCAAAGGGGCACUCCAUUUGAACAAUAGUGAUGGGAUUAACAACAUGUCCUCUCCUAAUAGUAUACAUCCAAUUAAAACUAACCCAAUUCUAACCAAUUCAUAAUUACCUGGUGCAGAGGGUGAUUGGACCUCGAACUGAUUCGAACAAGCCAACCUAGGGUUUCUGAAAUUGGAAUUUUUAAAACUUUAAAGAAUAAAGAGCAAAGUUGGGUCAAUAUAACUACAAACACAAACCGACAUUAAUCAAAACUCACUCCAACCUUCGAUUUCUCACCGCGUUCAGAAGUCAACGACCAAAUCCAAUCUCCUUCGACACACAGCGCGAUACGAGCGAUAGAGAACAAAGAGUGACUCUAGUGUGAGUAAGAGAGACCACGAGGAAGACGACGCCAAUGCUUCAAGGGCUUUUCGAGAAGGUGUAGAAUCGAAACCAGUGGUGGUGAGCGCAACUUUGGAUUGUGUGAGAAGAUAAACCCUAAAUCAGAACAAAUUUGGUAUCGCCGCCGUUUUCUUCUAUGGUGCUUUUCUCGUCUUGGAGGAUCUGUUCCUCAAAAAAGUAGAACGCCUCUCAGACCAUCGGAUUCCUCUCCUUCCUUCGCAUCCCUCGCCACUGUCAUUCCAACCGUCUGCACAUGAGUCCAAGCAAGGAAUCGUUGGAUUUGAUGGUCUCCCAAUCUCUAAGAGAAGCGCGCGAGGGAGGGUGGGGUUCCAAGGGAAAAGAUAGGGUUGGGGAAAAUGAUUAUGUGCGAGAAAA